GCCUCAUUAGCUCAAUGGUCAGAGCAUGGGGUAUUGUUAAUCCGAAGUUGUGAGUUCAAUUCUUACCCUAAGACA
rnacentral:tRNA from 1 species